GAAGUUUCUGAUUGGAAUACGUAUGGGUCGACUAUGAAAUACACUGUAUAUUCAUUCAGUUCCCUCUGACAAACUUCCAAACAACUCUCAUUCAAAUAUAUCUAUAGCACUACGUACGACGCCGUAUCAUUGGGAUCGAGGGGGUGGGUGGGGACAAGAAGAUAUUGCGAAAGCAAAAAGACAGAAAAAAACGUAUAUAGUAUAUAUAUAAUUAAUAAUAAUAAUAGAAGGAAGAAAUUGGGGUAAAGAGAGAGAAUCAGGGCCAAAUUAUUCAAAAUGGGAUGAUAAUUAAGCAUAUGGUUGAAGCUGAUGCUGCUUCAUUUUGCACCUUCUUGAGGCCAAACUCAUGAAGGAACAAAACCCCAAAAAAAUUUAUUCAAAAAGCUGAAAUCUUGAUGUUUUUUUGAUUCAUUUUCAAUUGUAUGUUGGAUUGAAUUUUUGAGGAUUUGUGGGGUGAAGGUUUUUUCAAAAUUUUUAGUCUCCGAUGGAGCCUCGUGUUGGUAAUAAGUUCCGGCUUGGCCGGAAAAUUGGUAGCGGUUCUUUUGGGGAGAUCUACCUCGGUGGUAAUGUUCAAACUAAUGAAGAGGUUGCUAUCAAGCUGGAAAAUGUGAAAACAAAGCAUCCUCAACUAUUGUACGAAGCAAAGCUGUAUAAAAUACUACAAGGAGGAACUGGAGUCCCCAAUUUAAAAUGGUUUGGAGUUGAAGGAGAUUACAAUGUCCUUGUGAUGGAUUUACUGGGACCUAGUCUUGAAGAUCUUUUCAACUUCUGCAGUAGGAAGAUGUCCUUGAAGACCGUUCUCAUGCUUGCAGAUCAGAUGAUCAAUCGGGUUGAAUUUGUUCAUGCCAAAUCUUUUCUUCAUCGAGAUAUAAAACCUGACAACUUUCUUAUGGGAUUAGGAAGACGUGCAAAUCAGGUCUAUGUUAUUGAUUUUGGGCUGGCUAAGAAGUACAGAGACUCAUCAACUCAUCAGCAUAUUCCGUAUAGAGAAAAUAAAAAUUUGACAGGAACUGCUAGAUAUGCAAGCAUGAACACUCACCUCGGCAUUGAACAAAGUCGAAGGGAUGAUUUGGAAUCAUUGGGUUUUGUCCUGAUGUACUUUUUAAGAGGAAGUCUCCCUUGGCAGGGGCUGAAAGCAGGCAAUAAGAAACAGAAGUAUGAGAGGAUCAGUGAGAAAAACGCAAAUUUUCCUAUAUAGACCUUGUGUCGAGGCUAUCCUGCAGAGUUUGCAUCAUAUUUUCAUUACUGUCGAUCACUGAGAUUUGAUGAUAAACCAGAUUAUGCUUAUCUCAAGAGAAUUUUCCGUGACCUUUUCAUUCGUGAAGGGUUUCAGUUUGAUUAUGUAUUUGACUGGACCAUAUUGAAAUAUCAGCAAUCACAGCUUGCCAAUAUUCCAUCUCGUGCUCUUGGCGGUACUGCUGGGCCAAGUUCAGGGAUGCCUCAUGGUCUUGCUAAUGUCGAAAAGAAAUCAGGUGGUGAAGAAGGACGGCCAACUGGUUGGUCUUCAUCAAAUCUGACACGUAAUAAGAGCACAGGGCUCAAUUUCAAUUCUGGAAGCUUAUUGAAGCAAAAAGGCACAGUUGCUAAUGAUUUGUCCAUGGGUAAAGAGUUACCUAGUUCUAAUUUUUUCCAGUCAAGUGGAUCAGCAAGGCAUCCUAAUGUCUCUAGCAGUCGAGACCCAGUGAUUGCUGGGGGUGAACCUGACCUCUCCCGCAAUCAGACACUAGACGCAGCAGGCGCACAAUCUCUGCGUAAAAUAUUCAAUGCUGCACAGAAGACUUCACCAGUUGUGUCCUCAGAUCACAAGCGCAGCUCCUCCACAAGAAACACAAACCUAAAGAAUUUAGAGUCUGCCAUCAAAGGAAUAGAGGGUUUAAGCUUUCGAUGAUGACAGACUGGAUUAGUAGCUCUGCUUUGUCACAAUUCCCCUUCUACUGUAUAUUUUGGCACAUCAAAACACACCAACUUGGCGGAGUACAAGUUUUGAUAUUAGUUGUUUCCAGCAGGAACCAUAAGCAAUGCAACCCCCGCAAACUCACAAAUCCCAGCUUAUGUUUGUCCAUACAGACAGACCGUUAU